rnacentral:rRNA from 1 species
GACGAACGCUGGCGGCGUGCUUAACACAUGCAAGUCGAACGAUGAAGGAGAGCUUGCUCUCCGGAUUAGUGGCGAACGGGUGAGUAACACGUGACUAACCUGCCCCUUUCUCUGGGAUAACGCUCCGAAAGGAGUGCUAAUACCGGAUACGAACUCUGAACACAUGUUCGGAGUUGGAAAGGUUUUCGGAAAGGGAUGGAGUCGCGGCCUAUCAGCUUGUUGGUGAGGUAACGGCUCACCAAGGCGACGACGGGUAGCCGGCCUGAGAGGGCGACCGGCCAGACUGGGAAUGAGACACGGCUCAGACUCCUACGGGAGGCAGCAGUGGGGAAUAGUGGACAAUGGGCGAAAGCCUGAUGCAGCGACGCCGCGUGAGGGAUGAAGGUCUUCGGAUUGUAAACAUCUUUCAGUAGGGACGAAGCGAAAGUGACGGUACCUAAAGAAGAAGCACCGGCUAACUACGUGCCAGCAGCCGCCGUAA